rnacentral:misc_RNA from 1 species
AAGUCGUAACAAGGUCUCCGUAGGUGAACCUGCGGAGGGAUCAUUACUGAGUGAGGGAGAAAUCCCGACCUCCAACCCUUUGUGAACGCAUCAUGUUGCUUUGGGGGCGACCCUGCCGUUUCGCGGCAUUCCCCCCGAAGGUCAUCAAAACACUGCAUUCUUACGUCGGAGUAUAAAGUUAAUUUAAUAAAACUUUCAACAACGGAUCUCUUGGUUCUG